rnacentral:misc_RNA from 1 species
AAGACUAUAGACCUGCGGAGUACCUGCGGAAGGAUCAUUAACGAGUUUGAAGGCGCCCCUUUGGUUGAGCUGGUCGCAAGGCAUGUGCUCGCCGAAGGGAAAAGCGUUCACUUCUCCCAAUCUCCCCUUUUUGUGCACCUUUGCGUGGGUUGGAAGGCCGUAAAAAAGCCAGAAAGCCUACGAUCUCUAUCUACCUCCACCGUACGGUACUUCGAAUGUCAUGGCUUGCGAUACGUCGCA